GCAUGUGUAAGUAUAAAUAUUUAACUUUGAAACUGCGAAUGGCUCAUUAUAUCAGUUAUAGUUUAUUUGAUGAAAAGUACUACUUGGAUAACCGUAGUAAUUCUAGAGCUAAUACAUGAUAAAAUCCUCGACUUUGAAGAGGUGUAUUUAUUAGAAUGAAACCAAUAGACUUCGGUCUGUUUGUGAGUAAUAAUAACUAAUCGUAUCGCAUGCUUAGGUAGCGAUAUGUCUUUCAAGUUUCUGCCCUAUCAGCUUUGGAUGGUAGUGUAUUGGACUACCAUGGCAGUAACGGGUAACGAAGAAUUUGGGUUCGAUUUCGGAGAGGGAGCCUGAGAGAUGGCUACCACAUCCAAGGAAGGCAGCAGGCGCGUAAAUUACCCAAUCCUGACAUAGGGAGGUAGUGACAAUAAAUCACAAUGCGGAACUAUUAGUUUUGCAAUUGGAUUGAGAACAAUGUACAAAUGUUAUCGAUAAACAAUUGGAGGGCAAGUCUGGUGCCAGCAGCCGCGGUAAUUCCAGCUCCAAUAGCGUAUAUUAACGUUGUU
rnacentral:rRNA from 1 species